GAUGAACGCUGGCGGCGUGCCUAAUACAUGCAAGUCGAGCGAACAGACGAGGAGCUUGCUUCUCUGACGUUAGCGGCGGACGGGUGAGUAACACGAGGAUAACCUACCUAUAAGACUGGGAUAACUUCGGGAAACCGGAGCUAAUACCGGAUAAUAUAUUGAACCGCAUGGUUCAAUAGUGAAAGACGGUUUUGCUGUCACUUAUAGAUGGAUCCGCGCCGCAUUAGCUAGUUGGUAAGGUAACGGCUUACCAAGGCAACGAUGCGUAGCCGACCUGAGAGGGUGAUCGGCCACACUGGAACUGAGACACGGUCCAGACUCCUACGGGAGGCAGCAGUAGGGAAUCUUCCGCAAUGGGCGAAAGCCUGACGGAGCACCGCCGGGUGAGUGAUGAAGGUCUUCGGAUCGUAAAACUCUGUUAUUAGGGAAGAACAAAUGUGUAAGUAACUAUGCACGUCUUGACGGUACCUAAUCAGAAAGCCACGGCUAACUACGUG
rnacentral:rRNA from 1 species